rnacentral:rRNA from 1 species
GACAGGAGGGACGGGCGUUAUUCAUCAUUACUAGGUGUAAAAGGUACGUAGGCUUUGUUUUUUCAUAAAUUGUGUAAGACGUAACGGUUUGUAAAUAAUUUUAAAAAAACAUAAUGAGAUUGGAGGAGAGUGGUGUAAUUGCUGAGGGAGGGGUGAAAUCCGAUGAAAUCAGUAGGAAAGCUCAGAGGCGAAGGCAGCCAUUUACUUUAUUCUGGCGCUGAGGUACGAAGGUCUGGGUAUCAAACGGG